rnacentral:lncRNA from 9 species
GUCCACUUGAAUAAAAUGAGUGAAUCAUCCAUAUUUGAUUUUGAUUUUUUUGCAAUAUCUUCUAGAAGAAAUUCAAAUUUUAUCUUAAGGUAAAAGAGAUGAACUCAAAAUUAAAUACUGUAGAGAUCAUGUUGAUGUAUGUCUGACAUUUUGAAAAUGGUGCCUUAAUGGGAUGACAUUUGGGUAAGGCAUCUCAUUAAUAUAUCUUCUUUUAAAAAACAUUCUAUGAGAUAAAUGCUAACUCAGAUCUUAAUUUACUCAACAGCUGUUUAAGGCACCAGAAAUACCAUGAAGCUAAAUUUUAUUAUCAUGCAUUUGAAGCCCCCAAAGAACCGACAGCUCCACAAAGAACAGUAAUUCAUCCAGGGAACCAGUAUUUAUUGCCUAUCUUUGGUGGGCCACCCUUGUGUCGGGUCCUGCAGAUGAGACCACGGGGCUUGGCCCCUCUGAGAUGGAGGAGCAGGGGUCCAGAGGGAAGAGAACAGGAGCGAGUAGAGGAGGAGUGAGAAAGGAAGUACAGGGGAGAGGAUGCCUCACUGAAGCUCCCCAUGGCUCACAGCCACCCAGGUGCACGGCAGGGACAGCAAGAAAUCUGCAGGGAAGCAGAGGGCUGCAGUCUGGGGAUGGGCUGUCUGUGAAACACCUGCGCAGGAAAAUGUGUGUGAUGGAGAACACCGACCGAACCUGGCAGCCUAGCAGAAACGAAGUUGGUAGAACUGCAAGCAAAAUGAGAGAAAGACCCUCAGGCACCGAAGCUUGAUAGCGACAGCCUCAAAAAUUGAAGCAGUGCUCCUAAGAGUAGCCUCAGGUCAGAGGAGGAGGUGGAGGGGCCUUGUUGUAAGAAAAGGAGUACCAUUUGCCUAGGUCAUGACUGUGCCAUAACACACAGGUUAAAUCAAGAGCAAACAAACAAUAGGAACAAAGAAAAUGACAUCUAAGUUUUAAUCCAGCAGGUACACUAUAUUUUAGGACAUAAUGUGAAGACUCAGGAUCUUCUCAUGUUUUCACUUGAUGUAAUGCAACAUAGUGAAGUCGAUGUUCCCGUUUUCACCCUAGGGUAUGCAGGUACCAUCCAUUAGCUUGAAAACAGAUUAACAGGGCUCAAAGCCAGCUUCAGAACAGCAGGCAUUCAAUGAAUGGAUUUGACAUCCAUCAAAUGAAUCUCAGCCUAUAACCUAACCAUCUGAAAUACAUCCCAGUUUUGUUAAGUGCUCCACAGUCCCAUGAUGUAAUACACUUUCUUUUACUUCUGGAUUUAUGAUAAAAGAAAUCUUAUCUUGUUAACUAAAACUGAAUUACCGAUACAUUAAAAAG